AGCUUAACAUUUUCCUCCAAUCAAGCGUGGUAAUCCCAAAAACAAUGACUACUGGCUUAUCUCAGAAAUACUGAGUUAACUGACACAAAACUGAAACCAYGACUUGAAUUGUUGAUGAAUUUCUUAGCAUGUAUUUUGAAAAACAUUUUGGUGCUAAUAUAUUAACAGGAAUAUCCUUGAGGCACAAUAUUUUUUUAAUUAUCAAUUCCUGACUGCAUGAGAACACACACUCUCACAUCUCCAAACAAUGGCAAUACUAAAUGUUUGAUUUCCUAGAUGAAUUACAGCUCAUUUGAAUUGGUYGGAACCAAAUCACUGUCAAAAGUACAAGGAUUGGAAUCCGAUUCCAAGGCAGGGAUUGGUGGCAUAGGUGGAGUUGUUAUGUUAUGCAAUUCUCUCUCGGUAACAAGUGGCUGCCGUUCCUUAGAGAUGGUUCCCUCACCUCGAGGAGGGGGAGGAGUCUGAUUGGCAGCAGGUGGCCGCUAGGGGAGAGUUGACUGCCUAUUUUAUGACAUAUUAUUGGAAAUGUCCAAUACUUGCCUGCACUUCUAGAGCUUGUAUGAGAAACAGUUGGUGACACUGGCUGAGAGCCAGAACCAGAAG